AUUGAACGCUGGCGGCAGGCCUAACACAUGCAAGUCGAGCGAGCGGCGGACGGGUGAGUAAUGUAUGGGGACUGCCCGAUAGAGGGGGAUAACUACUGGCAACGGUGGCUAAUACCGCAUACUGUCGGAUAACCCAUAUGGGAUUAGCUAUUAGGUGGGGGAAAGGCUCACUUAGGCGACGAUCUCUAGCUGGUCUGAGAGGAUGAUCAGCCACACUGGGACUGAGACACGGCCCAGAUUCUUACGGAGGCAGCAGUGGGGAAUAUUGCACAAUGGGCGCAAGCCGGAUGCAGACAGGCCGCGUGUAGGAAGAAGGCCUUAGGGUGGUAAAGUACUUUCAGCAGGGAGGCGUUACCUGCAGAAGAAGCACCGGCUAACUCCGUGCCAGCAGCCGCGGUAAUUC
rnacentral:rRNA from 1 species